AGUGAACGCUGGCGGCAGGCCUAAUACAUGCAAGUCGAACGGCAGCACAGCAGAGCUUGCUCUGUGGGUGGCGAGUGGCGGACGGGUGAGGAAUACAUGGGAAUCUGCCCAGUCGUGGGGGAUAACGUAGGGAAACUUACGCUAAUACCGCAUGCGCCCUUCGGGGGAAAGCCGGGGACCUUCGGGCCUGGCGCGAUUGGAUGAGCCCAUGUCGGAUUAGCUAGUUGGCGGGGUAAAAGCCCACCAAGGCGACGAUCCGUAGCUGGUCUGAGAGGAUGAUCAGCCACACUGGAACUGAGACACGGUCCAGACUCCUACGGGAGGCAGCAGUAGGGAAUAUUGGACAAUGGGCGCAAGCCUGAUCCAGCCAUGCCGCGUGAGUGAAGAAGGCCCUCGGGUUGUAAAGCUCUUUUGUCCGGAAAGAAAAGCAUCCAGUUAAUACCUGGGUGUCCUGACGGUACCGUAAGAAUAAGCACCGGCUAACUACGUGCCAGCCGCCGCCGUAACAC
rnacentral:rRNA from 1 species